UACGAAGGGGGCUAGCGUUGUUCGGAAUUACUGGGCGUAAAGCGCACGUAGGCGGCUUCUCAAGUCAGGGGUGAAAUCCUGGAGCUCAACUCCAGAACUGCCUUUGAUACUGAGGAGCUCGAGUCCGGGAGAGGUGAGUGGAACUGCGAGUGUAGAGGUGAAAUUCGUAGAUAUUCGCAAGAACACCAGUGGCGAAGGCGGCUCACUGGCCCGGUACUGACGCUGAGGUGCGAAAGCGUGGGGAGCAAACAGG
rnacentral:rRNA from 1 species